GCCCUCGUAGUUCAACGGAUUAGAACCGCGGACUCCUAAGCCGCUAAUGGAGGUUCGAUUCCUCCCGAGGGCA
rnacentral:tRNA from 2 species